UUACUUUUCCAUUUUUCUCAAGUCUGUCAAGAUGCUAGUGAAAGUUGAGUUGCAAAGAGUAAUACUAGAAGUGGAUGAAUUAUGUAUUCACUUUUAUGCUUAUACAGAGUAUUGAUCCUCCUCAAACUCUUUUUUCUGAGUGCAGGCUGCUAUCGGGGCUGUAACUUGGCUCCUGCAACAAUUUCCCCAGCUAGCAGACCGGCUGUAAUUGAAAACAGUAUUUCACUUCAGUCAAAUUAGUAGGUCCAGUUGUAUACAUUACUACCUAUAUCAGCAUGAAGAAAAAACUAAAUCUCUGAUCCAUAUUUUGUAAGUACCACCAAAUGGUCUUUGACAACGUUAGCUAUUUUUUAUGUGUAUAAAGUACAUCUUUCCCAUGUAAUUCAAGUUAGCUGAAUGAAAUGAGCAAGUAUCAUAUUUUCAACUGCCAAUAUAUUUCUAUAUUAACAGUUGCAUAAUGUAUUGAGCCAUAUGAUACAUCACAAAGGAGAAAGAAAAUCAUAACGGAUAUCGACUACAUGUGGCAUAAUCAUUAUAAAAAUACUCUUCUUCAUCUUUUGCAAAUCAUAUCGUUCUAUAAUUGUUGUUCAAUUAUACAUUAUGAAUACAAAUGCAAUAUUGAGCCUGAUCAGAGAUGCACCUCUUUUCAUAAAGGAGUGCCAUUAUCAUUUCCUCUCCGCGCAUGGCAAAGGCAGCGAGAAAAAACUGAGCUGCCAAAAGAAUCUGAGAUUCAGAGGGAUGGAAUUUCGAUAGUUCUAUUUGACAAAAGCUCUCCCA
rnacentral:lncRNA from 1 species